UGUUCACCACCGGGCGAGAUGCCCAGAGCGCCCCAGAGCUGCUGAGUCAUGGAGGACGAGGCUGGGUUACCAACAGAGGAGCCCCGGGUCCCCAGGGACCCUGGAAGCACCAGGCUGGAGGCCCAACAGCCCAAACCAAAACCGACCCGUCUGGAUGGAGACAAAGAGGAUGAAGAUUUGACCUCAGGACACUCUGCAGACUUCACGGCUCUGCCCUCACCGUGUCAAGGAGUAGACUUCAUUUCCAGCUUCAUGUAUUAAACUCAAGUAUUUUUCAUAGUUUACCGGGCUUUGAAGCACGUGAACAGGUGUACCUAAUGACCUAGUGUGUACACUUCAAAAUAACAUUAGUGGGUUUUUGUGUUGCUGUUGGCCAUUUUGACAUUUUGAACUGCAACCAAGCUGAAGAUGAAGCUAACAUGAAAAAAAAAAUCCGGUAACACUUUACUUGAAGCCCCCCUGCAUAACACAUUAUAAGUACAUUCAUAAAGCAUUAUAAUGCCAUUAUAACAUGUGUAGCU